rnacentral:rRNA from 1 species
CAGUCGCCACGGUAAUACGAAGGGGGCUAGCGUUGCUCGGAAUUACUGGGCGUAAAGGGAGCGUAGGCGGACAUUUAAGUCAGGGGUGAAAUCCCAGAGCUCAACUCUGGAACUGCCUUUGAUACUGGGUGUCUUGAGUGUCAUAGAGGUAUGUGGAACUCCGAGUGUAGAGGUGAAAUUCGUAGAUAUUCGGAAGAACACCAGUGGCGAAGGCGACAUACUGGAUCAUUACUGACGCUGAGGCUCGAAAGCGUGGGGAGCAAACAGGAUUAGAUACCCCUGUAGUCCCUGUCUCUUAUAC